CUCUUGUUGUAUUGGUCUGUUGAUGUCUGUGGACGAGAACGAAGAGCACGAUGAGGAAGAAGAAGAUGCCCGCGAUGAUUCCAUGGAGAGGCUACUGUUCUCGGUCAUACUUUUGCUGAAGGUUUUGUCCUACACAAGACAGUUAGUAUUCAGUUUUGUCUUUGUGAUAAACUUUGGCAGCAAAAGAGAGAGAGAGAGAGAGAGAGAGAGAGAGAGAGAGAGAGAGAAAGAAGAA